AACGAACGCUGGCGGCAGGCCUAACACAUGCAAGUCGAACGCUCUAGCAAUAGAGAGUGGCAGACGGGUGAGUAACGCGUGGGAACCUUCCCUAUGGUGUGGAAUAACUCGCCGAAAGGCGAGCUAAUACCGCAUAAGCCCGCAAGGGGAAAGAUUUAUCGCCAUAGGAUGGGCCCGCGUAGGAUUAGCUAGUUGGUGAGGUAAUGGCUCACCAAGGCGACGAUCCUUAGCUGGUUUGAGAGAAUGACCAGCCACACUGGGACUGAGACACGGCCCAGACUCCUACGGGAGGCAGCAGUGGGGAAUUGUUCGCAAUGGGCGCAAGCCUGACGACGCAACGCCGCGUGGAGGAUGAAGAUCUUCGGGUCGUAAACUCCUUUCGAUCGAGACGAACGGCCUCCGGGUU
rnacentral:rRNA from 1 species